UACGUAGGUGGCAAGCGUUGUCCGGAUUUACUGGGUGUAAAGGGCGUGUAGCCGGGCUUACAAGUCAGAUGUGAAAUCCGGGGGCUCAACCCCCGAACUGCAUUUGAAACUGUAGGUCUUGAGUAUCGGAGAGGCAGGCGGAAUUCCUAGUGUAGCGGUGAAAUGCGUAGAUAUUAGGAGGAACACCAGUGGCGAAGGCGGCCUGCUGGACUGCAACUGACGUUGAGGCCCGAAAGCGUGGGGAGCAAACAGG
rnacentral:rRNA from 1 species